rnacentral:rRNA from 1 species
CAUGCAAGUCGAGCGGUAACAGGUGUAGCAAUACAUGCUGACGAGCGGCGAACGGGUGAGUAAUGCUUCGGAAUCUGCCCAUGUAGUGGGGAAUAACUAGCCGAAAGGUUAGCUAAUACCGCAUACGACCUACGGGUGAAAGCAGGGGAUCGCAAGACCUUGCGCUAUUGGAUGAGCCGAAGUCGGAUUAGCUAGUUGGUAGGGUAACGGCCUACCAAGGCGACAAUCCGUAGCUGGUCUGAGAGGACGACCAGCCACACUGGGACUGAGACACGGCCCAGACUCCUACGGGAGGCAGCAGUGGGGAAUAUUGGACAAUGGGGGCAACCCUGAUCCAGCGACGCCGCGUGUGUGAAGAAGGCCUGCGGGUUGUAAAGCACUUUUAGUGGGGAUGAAAAGCUCGGGGCUAAUACCUCCGGGUCUUGACCUAACCCAAAGAAAAAGCACCGGCUAACUCUGUGCCAGCAGCCGCGGUAAUACAGAGGGUGCGAGCGUUAAUCGGAAUUACUGGGCGUAAAGCGUGCGUAGAUGGUUAUGUAAGUCGGAUGUGAAAGCCCCGGGCUCAACCUGGGAAUUGCAUUCGAGACUGCAUAGCUAGGAUGCGGAAGAGGGAAGCGGAAUUUCCGGUGUAGCGGUGAAAUGCGUAGAUAUCGGANGGAACACCAGUGGCGAAAGCGGCUUCCUGGUCCAGCAUCGACGUUCA